rnacentral:rRNA from 1 species
AUUGAACGCUGGCGGCAGGCCUAACACAUGCAAGUCGAACGAGUGGCGGACGGGUGAGUAAUGUCUGGGAAACUGCCCGAUGGAGGGGGAUAACUACUGGAAACGGUAGCUAAUACCGCAUACCAUCUGAUGUGCCCAGAUGGGAUUAGCUAGGGGGUGGGGUAACGGCUCACCUAGGCGACGAUCCCUGACGGGUCGGAGAGGAUGACCAGCAACACGGGACCUGAGACACGGUCAGGACUCCAACGGGAGGCAGCAGUGGGGAAUAUUGCACAAUGGGCGAAAGCCUGAUGCAGCCAUGCCGCGUGUAUGAAGAAGGCCUUCGGGUUGUAAAGUACGUUAAGCGAGGAGGCGUUACUCGCAGAAGAAGCACCGGCUAACUCCGUGCCAGCAGCCGCGGUAAUAC